CCUUCGACUAAAUCCAAAUUCCCCAAACCCAAAUCCUCUCACGCACUCCCUUUGCCGCCGACCGCCUGACGUCUCCAGCACGCCGUCAUCGUGGUAGCAAGGUUGCUGCCCUGUCUCCUUCAUCCUCCUGCACUCACACUGCUUAGCCCCCAAACACUUCUAACCCUAGCUUGUGCGCUGGAGUUCGGGGAGAGGCCAAGGCGCGGUGGUGGAUGCCGCCGUCCCUCUCAGAUCCGGGGGUUAAAAAGAGAGAGAGAGGUGGGUCACCUGCGAGAGAGAGCACUCGCACCCUCGCUCGUCACCCGGGAGCCGCCACCAUCGCCGCCACACCAUGGGCUUCCUCAGAUAUGUGCCAGCCAGUUCGUUUGAAGAGGGAUCUGGUCGUUGACUGUUGGUGCUUCCCCUCCCCCGACGAUCAGCGAUGACUUGGGGUGGCACUUCUAUCAAGCAAGCAGCACUUCGGCUGGGAGCUCAAGCUCAAGCAGAACUUCAAAAACAGGGUCUCUAUCUGCUAAUGGGGUAGCCGGCAAUGCAGUCUAAGAGCUGGCUACUGCUAAUGUGAUUUCUGGAUUUGAGAGGAUGAGAACUUGAGAAGAACAAGCUUGAUACUACAAUUGCAAAAAAUAUAUUCUAUACUACAGGUAUUCCUUUCAGUAUUGUUGCAGCAAACCUUAGUUAGCUAAUUUUCUAUGAACUGGUUGUGAUUGAUUUCUGAACUUUAGAGCUUGUGAAUUGUAAUUUGUUGUUUCAUAGGAUCCUUGAAGGUCAAUACAAGGGUAUCCUACGAAAAUUCAUUACUUCCUAUAAUCAUACUAAUGUUUCAGAUUUUUAGUUAAGCAUUUUAGAAUUCUUGCAAACAUAGGAGUAUAUUAAAUCUUCAUCCUCUUAACUAGUUGAGAGUUGAGACACACCAUACAUAGGCUCUGCAAGCAGGCGGAAAUAGACCUCUUCGUCGAUGACUUCUACGAGGACGAUAUUGACCUAGAGGCUGGAGCUUUGCUACUCUUUCCGGCCAACAACAAGGGAUCGUUUACUUUUUCUCUCCCCACAUCCAGUCCUUCCCUGUUCCUAUCCCUCCUGCUUAUUUCUUGCUAUAGGGCAACAUAAUGCAAGUGUUUGUUAAAUUGUUGGUCUCAAUGCUCCAUUCUAGCAGAAGGAUUUUCGGUAGGAAGACAUAGCAUCAAUCAAGGAUUUUCGGGUGGAAGACAUAGCAUCACUCAUGGUUGUAUAGAUUUACUGUUGUAUUUCUGUAUUUUUGCAAAACUAGUUCAGUAAAGCUUGUAGCUUAUUUCAGUUCUUAAGUGGUUUUACACUUAGGCUUGUAUUGACUUACUACUUAUUUUUUCCAUAAUUUUGCAACACUAGUUCUGUAGUACAUAGUACAAUUUUUUAUGGAAUCAAGUCAAAAUACAUGUAUAUCUAGCCGUUUGUAUUUCUACAGUCAUGCUUCUAAAGAUUGUAUGGUUUUAUUUUCACUAUAGAUUUGCUUGAGUAGUUCUGUAACUUCUAGAAUAGAUCAGUUAAGAGGUUUUACUCUUAGGCUUGUAUAAACUUACAACAUCUUUUAUUUGUAUUUUUGGAACAUUAGUUUUGUAUAGCUUUACUUUAGUUUCUGGAAACAAGAUUAAAUACGUAUGUUUGCAGUUUGUAAUUUACAGUAGUAUUUUUUGUGAAUUUGCUUCACUAGUUCUGUAAAAUGUCUAGAAUAGUUCACUUCUGGAAUGAAGAGUUAAUAUGUAUUAAUCAAUCUUCUAAUUUUACCUUUUCGCUUGUAUAGAUUUCCAGCUGUAGUAUUUUUGUUAUUUUUCUUCAGUAGUUUUGGAAAAUGGACUAAAUAUGAAAAGUUGGUUCUAAUUUAUUGUCAGUCUUUUUCUAUAGAUGUUACAGUUGCAUUUUUCUUAUUAGUUUUUGGCAAUUUUGCAAUGAGAAAGGUUUAACAACUGUAGUCUGUUCUGGUUUAUAAGGGCAUUGUAUCCAUGAGGAAAUUUGUUACUUAUUUCUAAAUACAUCUCUUACUGUUUAUCUGUAUGUUGCAGAGCAACUCACAUUGGUGUAGCUUAGAUGCAUUUUAAGAUAUGGCAUGAAGCUAGCUAAGGUCUUCUAUUAUUUCUAGCAGCAUGUGAUUGACUGAACAAGAGAAGGACUCCACUCACAUAUGAAGUGCUUGCAAGUUCUUUUUAAAAAAGCAAAGGACCAGCGGUGUAGCUAAGGGCUUUAAUUUAUUAGUACUCCAUUUGUUGCUUCUAAAACACUUGUAUGCACAGAUACUAGUUUCUCUUGGUUAUCAUAAGUGAACAUUCUUUAGAUAAAUUUCGCCUAGUUUUUUUAGUGGGGAAGGAAAGCUUCAUGAUAUUCCAUUUAAAACGCUGAUAUCUAUUUGAGAAUUAAUUUAUGUGCAUACCUCCUCGACCUAACAGUAUUUUUCUACUGUAUAGGAGAAAUCUUCUCAGUUUCUGAAUCCUGAGCAGUAGCAAGUCAGGUGCUUAAUGGUGAUCCUACCAUGCAUAUGGCAUAAGCAAGUUAGUUCUAAAAAGGUCAUUGUUAAUUUGCCCACAUCUAUCCUGCAAUUGCGACAACUUAGUGCGGUGAGAUUAGAGGACGGUCAUCAAUUUAAUCUACUUUGUGGCACUAAAGUAUAGAUGCUUUUCUCCGAUGCUUUUAUGAAUAUAAUAGUCAGAUGUAGUUUAAGUUCAGAUACUUUUUGACUUUUUGUUUGGUAUUUUGCAUGUCCUCAUGUGCUUAGUACUGCAUUUAGAAAUGAUUUCAGAUAGAUUCUUCUCAUUGAAAUUCAUUUCUAACGCAGGGAAAGUAUGUAUAACCUCCUGAUGUACGUGGGUUUUGAGAAUGCUUUUCCCAGGCCAUGCUGCACUCAUCAUUGAAACUUCUAGUUGUGUAUUAGAUAGUAAUCAUUUUUGCCUAAUGUAUUGCUGUCUAGUGCAGCAAAGUGCGGUCUUUCCACCCCAGAGAAGAAAAAGAAAGAGAACUAGUGCAGUCUUUUCUUCAAAAAUGACUUUCAUGUGUCCCUUGGUGGAUGUGUUGCUCCCAAUAAUUGGGUGUCUGGACAUGCUAAAUUGUUGCCUUGUGGCCAGAUGAUGCAUAUGCUCCUUUUCCAUUUAAUAUACUUCCUGGUCUGCGGAUUGAGGAGAUUCAUACAAGCUAUAUGGAAUGAAAUACAAGAGGACCAGGAAGUAAGCAUGAAGAUGGCAGUUUGUGUCAGGUAGGCAUUUUGUGUAAUGGGGCAAAAACAUUGUGUAUUUUAUCAUUUUGUAAACCUAUAUAGUGUCUUGUCAAUUGGGUAUUUUGUGUAAUGGAGCAAACAAUGAAACAUUGGACAUGCAUCUAUCAUUUU